rnacentral:rRNA from 1 species
UACGUAGGUGGCAAGCGUUGUCCGGAUUUACUGGGCGUAAAGGGAGCGUAGGCGGAUACUUAAGUGGGAUGUGAAAUACCUGGGCUUAACUUGGGUGCUGCAUUCCAAACUGGGUGUCUAGAGUGUUGGAGAGGAAAGUGGAAUUCCUAGUGUAGCGGUGAAAUGCGUAGAGAUUAGGAAGAACACCAGUGGCGAAGGCGACUUUCUGGACAAUAACUGACGCUGAGGCUCGAAAGCGUGGGGAGCAAACAGGAUUAGAUACCCUGGUAGUCCACGCCGUAAACGCUGUGUACUAGGUGUAGUGGGUAUCGACUCCUCCUGUGCCGCCGUUAACACAAUAAGUACCCCGCCUGGGGAGUACGGUCGCAAGAUUAAA